rnacentral:rRNA from 1 species
AUGGGAAACAAGUGGGAUAAGGACAGGAUCACGCGUGAUGGUAACAAGUGGGAUAAGGACAGGAUCAUGCGUGAUGGUGUGACAAGCGAAAUGUUUGAAGGAGGCGAAGGUGGAGAAGUACAGGCUCUUUGUAAACGUGCAAAGGGAGAGGAUGGAGUUCGACCAAGUGAGGUUGAACAUGAAGAAGGACAAAAUAGAAUUGGAGAGGUAAGAGAAUAUUGCAAAAUGGGAGCUUUAAAGACGACGACAUUGGAUGGAAUUGUAUGUGUGUGUGUGCUUGAGAGAGAGAGAGAGAGAGAGGUGUUGAGGCUUGCGGGAGAGAUGGAUGGGCUGAGGAUUAUAUUGCAGGACACUAACCUCUUGGAUGAUGAAGCCAAGUGGGUGAUGAAGAUGAAGAAGAGGACCAACUAG